CACAGAGGUGGGAAGUAGAGGCAUCAAACCCACAUGCAAUCAGACGUACCCUUCUUGGCCUUCCAGCUCCACUGGGUGCCAAGUGCAGUGCUUUGCCUCACAGCC